rnacentral:rRNA from 1 species
CCUACGGGUGGCAGCAGUGAGGAAUAUUGGUCAAUGGGCGCGAGCCUGAACCAGCCAAGUAGCGUGAAGGAUGACUGCCCUACGGGUUGUAAACUUCUUUUAUAAAGGAAUAAAGUGAGGCACGUGUGCCUUUUUGUAUGUACUUUAUGAAUAAGGAUCGGCUAACUCCGUGCCAGCAGCCGCGGUAAUACGGAGGAUCCGAGCGUUAUCCGGAUUUAUUGGGUUUAAAGGGAGCGUAGAUGGGUUGUUAAGUCAGUUGUGAAAGUUUGCGGCUCAACCGUAAAAUUGCAAUUGAUACUGGCAGUCUUGAGUACAGUUGAGGUAGGCGGAAUGCGUGGUGUAGCGGUGAAAUGCUUAGAUAUCACGCAGAACCCCGAUUGCGAAGGCAGCCUGCCAAGCCAUGACUGACGCUGAUGCACGAAAGCGUGGGGAUCAAACAGGAUUAGAUACCCCAGUAGUC